CUUUAACCAGGACACACGUUGAUUUAGAUUUGUGGAAAAUCAUGUCAGAUACACAGAGAUUUGCCUUUAAGAGGACAGCAUGAUGGUCCCCCUACAGGAGAGCUACCAGGGGUCUUGGGCUGAGUCACGGAACAGAUGAUUUGCCUGUGUCCUGUCUCUGCUUCCCCAAGUCUUCACGUUCCCGAUUCAAGAAUGAGUGGUAUACUUCACUGGAUGUUCUACACACAACUUCACAUUGUUCACGUGGCGCCAUAGUCAUCACCACCAACGCCAGUCUUCCUGCUCUCAGACCAUCACACCUGGUUCCUCCUGAGAGCAGCGGCUGGAGAAAGGAAGGUUACGACCCUGAGAACAAGCAGGAAGAGACUUGUUACCCCAGCUGUGCCUUUUUCAAGACUUGACCAAGGCAACACGAUCAUGGAGCCCAGAAGUGGCCCUUGACUGGAAACACUGGGCGGUGAAAGUGG
ensembl:lincRNA